GUGUGUAAGCGUAGCGAUACGUUGAGCUAACCAGUACUAAUGAUCCGUGAGGCUUAACCUUA
rnacentral:rRNA from 1 species